rnacentral:rRNA from 1 species
GGUUCUGAAUGGAAGGGCCAUCGCUCAACGGAUAAAAGGUACUCCGGGGAUAACAGGCUGAUACCGCCCAAGAGUUCAUAUCGACGGCGGUGUUUGGCACCUCGAUGUCGGCUCAUCACAUCCUGGGGCUGAAGUAGGUCCCAAGGGUAUGGCUGUUCGCCAUUUAAAGUGGUACGCGAGCUGGGUUUAGAACGUCGUGAGACAGUUCGGUCCCUAUCUGCCGUGGGCGCUGGAGAACUGAGGGGGGCUGCUCCUAGUACGAGAGGACCGGAGUGGACGCAUCACUGGUGUUCGGGUUGUCAUGCCAAUGGCACUGCCCGGUAGCUAAAUGCGGAAGAGAUAAGUGCUGAAAGCAUCUAAGCACGAAACUUGCCCCGA